rnacentral:tRNA from 1 species
AAAAUCCGUCGACUUUAAAAAUCGUGAGGGUUCAAGUCCCUCCCUAUCCCCA